GAGGAAUCUUGCGCAAUGGGGGAAACCCUGACGCAGCAACGCCGCGUGAGUGAGGAAGGUCUUCGGGUCGUAAAGCUCUGUCAGGCGGGAAGAAAUGCAUGGAGGUGAACAGCCGCCAUGCUUGACGGUACCGCCAGAGGAAGCACCGGCUAACUCCGUGCCAGCAGCCGCGGUAAUACGGGGGGUGCAAGCGUUGUUCGGAAUCAUUGGGCGUAAAGAGCGUGUAGGCGGCUUGGUAAGUCAGAUGUGGAAAGCCCUGGGCUCAACUCAGGAAGUGCAUUUGAAACUGCCAGGCUCGAGUAGGGGAGAGGGAAGUGGAAUUCCUGGUGUAGAGGUGAAAUUCGUAGAUAUCAGGAGGAACACCGGUGGCGAAGGCGACUUCCUGGCCCUAUACUGACGCUGAGACGCGAAAGCGUGGGUAGCAAACA
rnacentral:rRNA from 1 species